UCUUACGGAUAAACAUAGAAAGUGGAUUCUCGAGAUAGAAACCUACUCCUGGUGAAGAUGCUGUGAA
rnacentral:pre_miRNA from 1 species